rnacentral:rRNA from 1 species
AUGGCACUGGCACACUCUUCCACCGCCACCAUAUGUGGAGGCCAGGCUCCUGGGUACAAGCCUAGCUGCACCUACAAAAUCCGCUCCUGCACGGUGGUCCGCAACAAAAUCUGGAUAUCUGCCAGUGGCAUUGGCACCUACUCCUUCAACACGGACAGCCACGAGUGGAGCUAUGUUGGCAGCUGGGAGCUCCCGUUCCGUGGCCCUGCUGAGUUUGUGCCUGAGCUGGGCCGCUGGCUUGGAUUCUCCACCGUGCGAGAGAACCAGCACUACUUGUGUGCUUCAGACCUCUCCACUGCUGCAGUACCCACCCUGUGUUGCGAUUGCGAAUGGAAAGAAGAGCUUGAUGCUAACCCUGACAAGUGGCAGGUGGUGACCUCCUACCUUGUGCGCGUGGACUAUGGCAGGUUCUGCGUUGCCAGGCUAUACGACGUCUAUGAUGACCAAGGACGAGCCUGCUUUGGUAAGGGAGAAUUUUGCUGUGUUGACGGGGUUGGAGGCGGGGCUUAG